CACGUAGGGGGCGAGCGUUGUCCGGAUUUAUUGGGCGUAAAGAGCUCGUAGGCGGUUCGCUAAGUCGGGUGUGAAACCUCCAGGCUCAACCUGGAGACGCCACCUGAUACUGGUGUGACUAGAGUCCGGUAGGGGAGUGUGGAACUCCUGGUGUAGCGGUGAAAUGCGCAGAUAUCAGGAAGAACACCAGCGGCGAAGGCGGCACUCUGGGCCGGUACUGACGCUGAGGAGCGAAAGCGUGGGUAGCAAACAGG
rnacentral:rRNA from 1 species